GGGUAAAAAUUAAUUUAAUUAAUAAUUAAUAAAAAAAUUUUUAAAUAAAAUAUUUUAAUGGGGGUUAAAGUAUAUUUAUAAGAAAAAAUUUUUAAUUUUAUAGUUUAAUAGUAUUGUAAAAGAAAAUUGAAAUAAUUUGAAAAUUAAUUUUAUUAAAAGUAAAUUUUAUUUAUUGUAUCUUGUGUAUCAGAGUUUAUUAAUAAAAUUUUAAUGAAUAUAAAUAUCUCGAAUUUAAAAGAGAUAAUUAAUUAUAAAAGUUAUUGUUUCAUAAAUAUUUUUCAUAAUUAAUUUGAAAUGAAAUGUUAAUCGUUUUUAAAUAUAUCUAGUUUUUUUAGAAAUAAAUUUAAUUUAGAAUUUUUUUUUUUAGAAAAUUAAAUAUUUAAUUUUCUAAAAAAAAAAAUUUAAUAUUUUAAGGGAUAAUCUUUAAAUUAAAUAUUUAUAUUUAUAUUUUAAUUAAAGAUAAAAUUUUUAAAAUUUAUAUUGUUUAUAAAUUAUAUUUUUUUAUAAAAAAUUUUAAUAAUUUAUAAAAUUUUUAAAAGUAAAUUUAAUUUUUUAUAAAAAAAUAAUUUAUAAUAAGUAAAAUUUAGGUAUAAUGAUAAAAUUAGUAUAUUUAUAUAAAUUAAAAUAAUAAUUUAAUUUAAUAAAAAUUAAUUAAAAGGAAUUCGGCAAAUAUUUAUAUUCACUUGUUUAACAAAAACAUGUCUUUUUGUUAAUAAUUUAAAGUCUAAUCUGCCCACUGAUGGAAUUAAAGGGCUGCAGUAUAUUGACUGUACAAAGGUAGCAUAAUCAUUAGUCUUUUAAUUGAAGACUUGUAUGAAAGAUUUGAUGAAAUAUAAACUGUCUUUUUUUUAAAAUUAGAAAUUAAUUUUUUAGUAAAAAAGCUAAAAUUUAUUUAAAAGACGAGAAGACCCUAUAGAGUUUUAUUAAAAAUUUAUUUAUUAAUAUUAUAUUAAAUAUUUAAAUAAAAAUUAAAUUUUUAAUUUUAUUGGGGUGAUGAAAAAAUUUAAUAAACUUUUUUUUAAAAAAAAUCCAUUAAUUAAUGAAGUUUUUGAUCCAUAAUUUAUGAUUGUAAGAAAAAAUUACCUUAGGGAUAACAGCGUAAUUUUUUUUUUUAGUUCAAAUAAAAAAAAAAGUUUGCGACCUCGAUGUUGGAUUAAGAUAAAAUUUAAAUGCAGAAGUUUAAAAUUUUUGAUCUGUUCGAUCAUUAAAAUCUUACAUGAUCUGAGUUCAAACCGGUGUAAGCCAGGUUGGUUUCUAUCUUUAAAAAAGAUAAAUAUUUUAGUACGAAAGGAUUAAAUAUUUAAAAUAUAUUUUAAAUUUAUAGAAUAUUAAUAAUUGAAAUUUAUAUUUAUUAUUUAUAAUUUAUUAAAAAUUUA
rnacentral:rRNA from 1 species